rnacentral:rRNA from 1 species
UACGGAGGGGACUAGCGUUGUUCGGAAUUACUGGGCGUAAAGCGCACGUAGGCGGAUUUGUAAGUCAGGGGUGAAAUCCCGGGGCUCAACCUCGGAACUGCCUUUGAUACUGCAAAUCUCGAGUCCGGAAAAGGUGAGUGGAAUUCCUAGUGUAGAGGUGAAAUGCGUAGAUAUCGGGAGGAACACCAGUGGCGAAGGCGACUUCCUGGCCUGUUCUUGACGCUGAGGCGCGAAAGCUAGGGGAGCAAACGGG